rnacentral:lncRNA from 1 species
GUCAUGUUUUCCUGUUUUUCUUAGCUUCUUUUAUAAGUUUCAGUUAUAUGUUGCUUAAUUUGAAAAAGCUCAUGGAUGGUAUUUUCUCAUCAACGUAAAAUAUCUUUGGUAUCCUGUUUGGUGCUUUUUGUUUUGAAUUGUACAUCCUUUUUGUCUGUCAUUUAACUUUAGAUGGGUGGCUUAUAAACACAUUGCUGGAAUUUUUUUUUUUUAGUGAAAUUCAGACAGUCUCUUAAUAGGUGAAUUUAACUGGUUUUUUUGUGAUCAUUGUUGCAAUGUUAUUUGCCAUUAAGUUCAUUUUCCUAUUAUGUUUUCUAAUUGGUGGGGGGGUUUUUGCUUCCCCUAUUUGCUUGAUCAAAAAAUUUUCCUAUAGUAAAUUAAGCAUUCAACAUCUUCUUGCUGUGUUACUGGUGGAUAACUUUAAAGUUUUAAACAUGUUUGAAUUUCUAUUUCUCUCAAUUUCACAUAUUUAAGGCCUCUAUUCACCCUGAACAAGAAACUCAGCAGAAAGUCAGAUUUCUGCCCAUCUUCCUACCAGUGCACAUACACAUUCUCUGUCUCCUGGGUUUCGCUGGAAUCAUCUAGAAUACAGUUCAGAAUUCUAAACUUUUCACAAAUGUCUCUAUCUCAAUCUCUUAAUAGUGACACUAAAUGUCAGUCAUAUUAUUAAAAAAUAUUUUGGCCCAACUCCCUGUUUACCCAGCUUCACUGCUCACCUGUUUCUUAUAAACCUGUUUCUGAGUUCUUGAUUUUGAUUUGCUUUCUUCUGGAGUAUUUCUUUGGAUUUUUUUGUUUUCAGAACAUGUGCGAGUCCUUGCACCUCUGAAUGUUUCUGUCUUUGUCCUGACACACCAGCGAUCAGGCUGAGCAUCUCUCCUGGAGAGGAUGUCUCCUUGCCAAAAAUUCAUCCUCCUUCCACGCAGUGGGAUUGCACAUCCUAGCGCUGCUGAGCUCGGGCAUGGUCCGUGAAAGAUGGGUAGACGGGUGUGCGUCUCAAGGCGGAUGCUUCAAGAACCAGCAUAUGGCUCACGUGUCCUCUCCCUCUCGACUAGCACUGGCCACGUUCCAGGUAGAGACUCCUCCAUCCCCCUGGGUUCUGGCCCAAAGUCGACCUCAAGCAGAGCUGCAGCCAACCUGCCACGGCCAUGUGGUGUGAGAAACAGGUCUGUCACAUGUCACUGAGGUCUGGGGGUCAUGUGUUACCCGCAGGCUGUUCUAGCCUGUCCUGAUCUACGUAUUGUUAUGGGUUGCAGACCUUUCCUCUGAGAAGUUGGAGCUCUGGCCAUGGGGCUGGGGCAAAUUCCUUGCCCUCUCUGCUCCCUGAACACUGCCCACCUCCGCCACCCCCCUCCCCCGACCAUCUGUAAAGCAUGGGAGUGAAUUAGAUGAACACAGAGGUCCUUGCCAGGUUUGACAUUAAACUGAUCUUUUCUGCCAGAUAAGGGCCUUCCUGAAGAUUCCUCUUAAUCAGGCAGCUGACUUUGUAUUUUUACAAAGCAAAUUAUGUACGAGAGAUUUUGGCUAUUUGUUGCUAGAAAUAGGCCCAGCUGACGUCUGGUGGGGACAGAUAUUUGAGAAGCCCUGGAAGGCACCAGAAGGCGGACACCUACCUGGAGCUGGGAUGGAUUUCUGGUCUGUCCUCGGCCUCCCUGGCUUGGUGACAGGCAGGAGCUCUGCCUGCGCCCGCUGAUCUCUUUCUCACCAUUGAGUGCCUGCUGUGUGCCAAGCGUCCUGCCAGGGCCUGCAAGGAUGAGACACACUGACCCUCUAGGAAGCACCUCUAUUUGGGGAGGUGGGCUUGGUGAUCUUCAUGUAGAUGGGGCUUUCCUGUGGCGCUGCCUUCCUUCACUUCCUCGUGGGAUCCUGGCAGCCGCUGGUGAGAUGGGAAACGGACUGAGAAUCAGCAGAGCUGGGACCGGAACCCGGGCCUUCUGCAGCUCCAGACUCUGCUCUUCCCUGCACGCGCUGCCUCUGCUGCUCUUUAUGGUGGUGGCCAAAGGAGCCGUGCUGACGGGAAGGAUGAGUGAGGCCGAUAUUCCUGUGCUGCUGGGAGGCCUUGCAGGAGGUAGCCUCCACCACCUUGAAGGAGGAGAAGGAGGAGGAAAAGCUGGGAGAGAUAAAGAAGCUGAGGUCUGGAGAGGAGAAGGGACGAAGGUCUGGCCGCAAGUCCAGCACAAGCCAGGUGCUGGAUGGAAAGUCAUUGGCCGCUUCAGCCUGUCUGUUCUCUUGAUGGGCAGAUAUUUAUGGAACAUGUCCACGUUCCAGGCAUUGAUUAGGCCCUGGGGAUACCUCAGGGAAAAAAGGAGUCACAAAUCUCUGCCUUUGUGGAGCACACCGUGAGCCCAAAUUUACACCUAAGGACACUGGAGCACAGAGAGGUUAAGUGCUUUUCUGAGUCCGCACAGUGAAUACAGAGAACAAGCAAUCUGGAUGUUGUGUCUACCGGCUCUCUUCACAAGAUCCCUCUGCCUUCAUCUGGGAACUGCUCCUUCUCACACCCAGUCAGUCCGUAUGAUGCCGGCAGGAGCGCUCUGGUCUCUCAGGACCCUGCUGGCGACCCUUGAACCAAGCAUGGGACAGGAGAUCCAUUCUCGGGGUUUUUGUACUGGAGACCAGAGGAAGCGCAAAGUCAGUCUGUGGAAGCGGUGAGAGGAAAACUGGAGCUGUUGGCUGCCAUGUUUUCUUCCAUGUGGAAUGUGUCACUCUGCAGGGAGAGAGGAGAGUGGAGCCAAGGCGCAGACGGAGAGAAGCAGAGAUGUGAGAGAAAGGAGAGAGAGACACGCUGGGGCUCAUCUCUCCAGCCUCAGCCAUCCUGAGACCCAGCACGUUCCUCUCUGAGUUCCCAGAAACACCCAGAAUCUGUAUAACAAACUCCGCUUUCUCAGUUAAACUUGCAUCCGAAGGAGGCCUGGUUAAUCGACUGGGACAAUGGCAAGUGCCUAUGAGCAACCGCCCUAAGCUGCUUUGAGCUCCUGCCACAUCCUGGGCUUGCCUUUUGGCUUCUGGAGCUGACAGUGUCCUGUUCUCAGAGAACUUUGCAAUAGAUUCUCUGCCUUCCAAGCAUGUGGCUGCAACCUAACUCUUAAUAAAUCAGACGGGAGCUUUCUGCAUGGAAAAGAGCCUCUGCCAUACAUCAUUUUUGUUUUCCUCUUGGGGAGAGCAACUAUGCUACAGCAAUAACCUGCCACGUGUAUAUCUCAAAGCCCUAUUUAUAUAGCCAUAUGGAUAAAUAUAUAUAAAUAGGACUGUGGGAUAAUAGAUUAAGGGACCUGCUCAUCCAUAGAAGACUUAUGGGCUUUCAGGACCUAAUGGCGGCCUGAUUCAGUAAGAAAAAUGGGUCUUCGGCAGGAUGUGGCCAAGAAUUAGAUGAGCCCAUAACCUGAUCGAAAGCCCACCCGGGAGAUGGAGAGGUGGGGAGGACCGUGAGGAGCCAGAAGCUCUGGCAGGACGAGCCAAGAGAGGGAAUGAGCGGGGCAGGGCUGUGAAAAGUCAGGCCCCCUGAGCUGUCUUCCCAGUUCAGCCUCUAUUUUGCUGUGUGACCUUGGGCAGCUCACUUGUCUUCUCUGAGCCUUGAUUCCUCAUAUAUAAAUGAAGAAUGUGGACUUGCUGACCUCCAACGUCAGCUUUUUCCUCUCUGGCAUUAAAAUGACUCUGAGCUCUGUGGUCCUUGACCUCUGGGCCGGAAAGGUCAGGCAGUCUCAGUUAGACUGAGCCGAUCCCUAGGCUUUGAACUUGUGCUCCUCAUAGGUCUUGUACCUUCUGGAGGUCAAUUCAAAAGGGAUCGGCAGUCACAAACCAAAGGUCCUGGGGCUGUCUGAAUAACAAUAACAACAGCUGUUACUACUACUUCUCCCAUUAUUCUGCACGACUGCGGCUGGGUGCUUUGUGCUCAUGAUCCAUGACUAACAUUUAUUGAGCACUUACUCUGUGCCAGGCACCAUUCUAUACACUUCACAUGUGUUAUCAUUCUCACCAGAACCCCAGGAGGUAGGUACAAUUAUUAUCCCCAUUUAUAGAUGAGGAAGCAGAAGCACAGAGAGGCCCAGUGACUGGUCCGAGUUCACACAGCUGGUAAGUGAUGCUGUUAAGACACCUGCUGGAAUCUGACUCCAACCUCUGCAUUCUAAUCCCCACUGUGUACCUCCCAUUUACAGGGGCAGAAACUCAGGCUACAAGAGGUUAAUUAACGUGUGAACAGCCAGAUGCUUGGAGCUCUCAGACCUGUCAAUUUCGUGGGCUGCGAUAUAGAGGAAAGGGAUUCUCGCUGCUCCUCGUGUUUCUUUCGGUUUUUCCAACUCAGUCCAUUUUUUUUUCUAACAAAAGUCUAUUUACAGAAGCAACAUAUAGGACCCGUGAUAACCACAUGUCGGCCAUGCUUCAGUGAACCCCCAAAUCAAAGAUGGACUGGAUAACGUGCACCUGAUGCGAUUGGCUUUUUUCAGGAUUUCAGACUGGUUUUUGUUCCUUCUGUGGGUUGAAAGGAGGCUUUUGAGACUUGAUGAGGGCACAUUUCUCCUGGGGAGUAAUAAUGCGGCUGGUGUUAGACCUAAUGCUGAGGAGAGAACAUUUGCUAUUUUGGAAGAGUUAAUCCCAAAGCCUCUUUCUCUGGCUCCUGCCUUUAGAAAAAGGCAUUUCUGAGGCAGGUCCAGGCGGGACCGCAGCCUCAUAAUCCACCCUCAAUCAUCCGAACGCUGAUCAUGGAACUUUGUGGAGCUCCUGGAUGUGCCAGGCCGGGGCAGGAGGCUGACGUCAUUCUCCCGACACCUUCCGAACGGGCCUUGCUGUCACCCCCACAUUACAGAUGAGGAGCUGAGGCCCAGAGAGGUUAAACAGCCUUGCUGCGCCAUCCCAGCCAGCAAGGGGCAGAGCUGGGACUAGAACUCGACUCCGUACGCUGGGCUGUAACACCGUGCUCUGAUACAUCUGGGACCGGCAAUCGAAUUUACCGGAAAAAAUGAAAAUUACGUCAAGAAAUUUCAACUUUUCACUUAAAGGGAGCGCCUUACGGCUUCUCUUUGGCAUAUCCAAAUUGCCAGCAGCACUGCUCUUGCACUUUGGGGCCAUUAAGUGAAACAGGGGUACCUGAACACAAGCCCUGUGAUACCUCGACAGUCGAUCUGAUAACUGAGAGGGCCACUAAGUGACUACGGGCUGGGAGCACGUACAAGGGAGUUCCAGCCUAAUUUCCUGGAAAAGGGCCAGAGCAAGGGAAUCCUGGGCUCCUUUCUGACAGGAGGCGGAGAAGCGGGGGCCAGGCACAAUCAACUCUUUAUCGUCAGGAAGCUUGUGGAGCCCUCUUGCCUGGUGACAUUUCUAGGCAAGCGGAGACUUUAG